rfam:Solenopsis invicta Si_gnG.contig83711, whole genome shotgun sequence.
CAAACGGCCCUUUUCAGGGCCCCCUCACUAAAAAAACCUAAUUGGAG